GACGAACGCUGGCGGCGUGCCUAAUACAUGCAAGUUGAGCGAUGAAGAUUGGUGCUUGCACCAAUUUGAAGAGCAGCGAACGGGUGAGUAACGCGUGGGGAAUCUGCCUUUGAGCGGGGGACAACAUUUGGAAACGAAUGCUAAUACCGCAUAACAACUUUAAACAUAAGUUUUAAGUUUGAAAGAUGCAAUUGCAUCACUCAAAGAUGAUCCCGCGUUGUAUUAGCUAGUUGGUGAGGUAAAGGCUCACCAAGGCGAUGAUACAUAGCCGACCUGAGAGGGUGAUCGGCCACAUUGGGACUGAGACACGGCCCAAACUCCUACGGGAGGCAGCAGUAGGGAAUCUUCGGCAAGGGACGAAAGUCUGACCGAGCAACGCCGCGUGAGUGAAGAAGGGUUUCGGAUCGUAAAACUCUGUUGGUAGAGAAGAACGUUGGUGAGAGUGGAAAGCUCAUCAAGUGACGGUAACUACCCAGAAAGGGACGGCUAACUACGUG
rnacentral:rRNA from 1 species